UACGGAGGGGGCUAGCGUUGUUCGGAAUUACUGGGCGUAAAGGGCGCGUAGGCGGCGCGAUAAGUUGGGCGUGAAAGGCCCGGGCUCAACCCGGGGACUGCGCUUGAUACUGUCGCGCUGUGAGUCCGGGAGAGGAUGGCGGAAUUCCCAGUGUAGAGGUGAAAUUCGUAGAUAUCUGGAGGAACACCGGUGGCGAAGGCGGCAUCCUGGACCAAUUCUGACGCUGAGG
rnacentral:rRNA from 1 species